rnacentral:rRNA from 1 species
GAUGAACGCUAGCGGCAGGCCUAAUACAUGCAAGUCGGACGGGAACCAUUGAUAGCUUGCUAACAAUGGUGAGAGUGGCGCACGGGUGCGUAACGCGUGAGCAACCUGCCUCCAUCAGGGAGAUAACCUCGAGAAAGAGAGAUUAACACCGUAUAAUAUCAACAGUUCGCAUGUUCAGUUGAUUGAAUAUUUAUAGGAUGGAGAUGGGCUCGCGUGACUUUAGUUAGUUGGUAGGGUAACGGCUUACCAAGGCGACGAUGUCUAGGGGCUCUGAGAGGAGACUCACCCACACUGGUACUGAGACACGGACCAGACUCCUACGGGAGGCAGCAGUAAGGAAUAUAGGGCCAUGAGCGGAAGCCUGAACCAGCCAUGCCGCGUGCAAGAUGACUGGCCUGUGAGUUGUAGACUGCUGUGAACCAGGAAGGUGCCUAAAUACGAGUAUUUAGCUGAAUGUACUGGAAGAAUAAGGAUCGGCUAACUCCGUG